CGAGCAUCCUUUUCCGGAGUGUGCUCAUAGGCUCCUCUCACAGCCCCAGGCCUGCCAGGAAAGGGCUCUCAGUUCCAGCUGGGGGAGGGCCAGGACCUAUCCCAGUCUGCUCAGUGGGAUAGCACCGGAAUGGAAGCAUUAGCUUUAAUGGGAAAGGCCUGUUUGCAGGCGAAGUAAAGUCAGUAACUCACACUUCAAACACCUGCAGGUUCAUUAGCAUCCUGACAACCCUCAGGUGAGGAAGGAGCUGUUAUCUCCAUUUACAGACGGGAAAACUGAGGGUCAGGCUGGCUCUCAAGCCUGGGUCUUCUGAUUCUUUCAAAUCCUAUGUGACACAACACUGAGCUCUUUGGGGUUCAUAAAAGGAGGACCAGGAAUGAUGGAAAAGAUCCAAACAUCCGUCUUUGAAGGCGGGAAAUCUGGGAGGAAUGACCCUCGGUUCAAAUCCUGCCACUUAGGAGCUAUACAGCAGUGAGCAGGUGGACCUCCACAGGAACAAAUCAUAUCCAUGUCAGGCGGCACCAAACCUAAAUCUGCUUCUGCCUCAGCAGACAGGACAUGCACCUACAUGUCUAUGUUCAGAAGCUGCCUUGAUGCCACAUGCGGGAGGCUGGAAACGCUGAAGGAUGACCACUGCUCAGCAGCAGUCUACCAGUGAUGGAUGAGAGUUGGUGCACAAAUACCCCAGCUCCCUUGCCUCUCAGUUUGGAUAAUCCUGAAAAGGUGUGUACUAUGCUAUUUCUGAGAUUAAGCCCUAGUUACCCAUAGUGGUAGCUAAAUAUAGUAGUUGGCUGUAUUCUCCAUCACUUCUUGAAUCCCCUGCCAGUGUUCUCUGCACCUCCUUAAUAAACCACUUGAAACAAAAAUCAAGUCUUUCUUUCUCUCACGGUCUGCAUCUUGGGGAACACAAACUAAGACACAGUCUCAAAAAAGUUAACAUUUGUAAAACAUCUAGUUUAUUUUUUCAUCUUACCCUACAAGUAAUAAAAAAGACAAAAAAAACCAAAACAAAACACCUUUCAUGGGAGAGGGGACAUUCAACUAAGAUGCUUUGAGUUGCUUUUCCUGUUAACGUUAUGCCAAAUUUAGAAGAAAAGAAUGCCAGAAGAGGGCAGAGGAUAUGUAUUAUGUCUAUAUCUUCGAGACAUGAGGUCUUGCUAUGUUCCCCAGGCUAGAAUGCAGUGGCUAUUCAUAAGCAG
rnacentral:lncRNA from 10 species